rnacentral:tRNA from 1 species
GUCCCCUUCGUCUAGCGGUUAGGACGCCAGCCUCUCACGCUGGAAACAGGGGUUCGAUUCCCCUAGGGGACGCCA